UACGGAGGAUGCAAGCGUUAUCCGGAAUGAUUGGGCGUAAAGCGUCCGCAGGUGGCUAUGUAAGUCUGCUGUUAAAGAGUGAGGCUCAACCUCAUAAGAGCAGUGGAAACUACAUGGCUAGAGUGCGUUCGGGGCAGAGGGAAUUCCUGAUGUAGCGGUGAAAUGCGUAGAGAUCAGGAAGAACACCGGUGGCGAAAGCGCUCUGCUAGGCCGCAACUGACACUCAUGGACGAAAGCUAGGGGAGCGAAUGGG
rnacentral:rRNA from 1 species